rnacentral:rRNA from 1 species
UACAGAGGGGGCAAGCGUUGUUCGGAAUUACUGGGCGUAAAGGGCGCGUAGGCGGCCUGCUAAGUCGAACGUGAAAUCCCUGGGCUCAACCCAGGAACUGCGUCCGAUACUGGUUGGCUUGAAUCCGGGAGAGGGAUGUGGAAUUCCAGGUGUAGCGGUGAAAUGCGUAGAUAUCUGGAGGAACACCGGUGGCGAAGGCGGCAUCCUGGACCGGUAUUGACGCUGAGGCGCGAAAGCUAGGGGAGCAAACGGG